AAUUCAUUGUGCGGGCAUUUUUGAAUAAACAUAUUGAAGUGUUCCCACACCUCAUAGAAGCUUUCUUCUUUGAUCUAUCUAAAUACAAAAAUCUCUCUUCUUAAUUU
rfam:Gossypium raimondii Chr13_contig_489, whole genome shotgun sequence.